GACGAACGCUGGCGGCGUGCUUAACACAUGCAAGUCGAACGGAAAGGCCCUGCUUUUGUGGGGUGCUCGAGUGGCGAACGGGUGAGUAACACGUGAGUAACCUGCCCUUGACUUUGGGAUAACUUCAGGAAACUGGGGCUAAUACCGGAUAGGAGCUCCUGCUGCAUGGUGGGGGUUGGAAAGUUUCGGCGGUUGGGGAUGGACCCGCGGCUUAUCAGCUUGUUGGUGGGGUAGUGGCUUACCAAGGCGAUGACGGGUAGCCGGCCUGAGAGGGUGACCGGCGAGGUGGGGACUGAGAGACGGCGCGGACUCCGACGGGAGGCAGCAGGGGGGAAUGUUGCGCAAUGGGCGGAAGCCUGACGCAGCGACGCCGCGUGGGGGAUGAGGGCCGUCGGGUUGGAAACCUCUGGCAGCAGGGACGAAGCGCAAGCGACGGGAAUUGCAGAAGAAGAACCGGACAACUACGUG
rnacentral:rRNA from 1 species